rnacentral:lncRNA from 1 species
GGUAAUUAUUGUCCAACUAUGGAUUAACUAAAUUUAAAAGAUUCAUCUCAUGAUUUAUAGGUAAACUGUACAAUUAGUUUUUAUUUUUGUGUAUAUUUAAUACUUCAUACAUAUGUCACAAUCGAUGUGACGGAGAAUCUUAAAAAGUUUUUGAUUUUUUUGAUGCAACUAAACAAGGCCUUUGAAAAUAUUAAGUCGAACUACCUU